rnacentral:rRNA from 1 species
UACGAAGGGGCAAGCGUUGUCCGGAAUCAUUGGGCGUAAAGCGCGUGUAGGCGGUUCGGUAAGUCUGCUGUGAAAGUCCAGGGCUCAACCCUGGGAUGCCGGUGGAUACUGUCGGACUAGAGUACGGAAGAGGCGAGUGGAAUUCCCGGUGUAGCGGUGAAAUGCGCAGAUAUCGGGAGGAACACCAAUUGCGAAGGCAGCUCGCUGGGACGUUACUGACGCUGAGACGCGAAGCGUGGGAGCAAACAGG